UGGGAGCAGUUCUCUCUACAUGUUACUAUCCCAGAACCAUAACCCCAAGAACAUCAAGGUCCUACCACGUUUUAGCAUUUCGACAUCAUUCCAUCUGCUUGUAUGGGAGAAGCAAGCAUCUUCUGCAGCUACUGACUUCAUUCCUGGCUUCACAGUGGAACGAGGUGGCGAACCUGCAGAAGCAAGGCUGAAAUCAGAGAGCAAGGAACCCUGGAGAAGGCUGAAGGCUUGAGUAGCCCAUCCAAAUCUACUACAGGAGGAUUUUGGUGGAAUGUAAUUUAAUUGACGGCUUACUCUGGAAAGAUUAGCUGUAUUCCCUUGAGCCAAAAGCCAGAUGUACCAGCAUUAACACCAGACAGAAGAAAAAUGUAAAAAGCCAAACAUCUCCAUACUUCUGCACAGACUAGUGAAUCAUGGGCAAGAUCGUGGAGACAGUGGGGAAAAUUAUCUAUCCCUUGGCCUUUUCAGCACAGCAGACCGCUGUGCACUUAGAACUCCCAGACUUGUUACAGCCCCUGGAUACACCACACCUCCUACCUACCCAGGUAAUUCAAGUAAGUUCCCAGUACCAUACUCUGCUAUUCACUCCUCCUUUGAGCCUCUGCUCACAGGUUUCUAAUAUUUGCUUCUGGGCUCCUUGGUUUGGAGACCUGCCCAGACUCCAUUCUCAGGACCCUGUUUGCCUUUGGGAUUUCCAAGCUGCCUCACCCCACCUUUUCCCAGCUUCAGGAAACUGUGGGAAACUUCAUUCAGGGCUCCAACAGCCCAGGGGAGGAGGAUAUAGACACAUGUUAUUAAAAUAUAAAGUUUUGCUUAUCAGGAUUGAAGACAUAGUUUGGCAGAGGUGA
rnacentral:lncRNA from 12 species